rnacentral:lncRNA from 1 species
UUCCACACACAUCGUCAAUACCACUAGCUUCAACAAUAGAAUCAACCGCAGACACAGUGGUACCAGUUGCAGCAGGUAUAUCCGGGCAGCCAUCCUUAACAACAGAAUCUUCAGCAGCUGAAGGUUUAUUUCCACAUCCCUCCUUAACAACAGCAUCUUCAGAAGACACAGCAGGUACAUCUCCACAUCCAUUCUUAACACCAGCAUCUUCAGAAGGCACAGCAGGUAUAUCUCCACAUCCACCCUUAACAACAGAAUCUUCAGCAGCAGCAGCCUCUAGAUCUCCACAUUCAUCCUUAGUGACAGUACCAUUAGCAGCCGCAGCAGGUACAUCUCCACGUCCAUCCUCAACGACUGUAUGCUCAGCAGCAGUCAUUUCAACAU